CUGCAGUUGAGCUCUUGGUGUCUUAGUGUUAUCAUUGAAAGCAUGGACACAAGCUUUGAAGAGAUAUGCAAGGCGGUCCUUGUGUUUGCAGGAGCUGGUGGAGUUGUGAUUCUGACUCCUGCCAUUCUGGCCACACUGGGGUUCACUGCAGCUGGAAU